GUGAAGACUUUUAAAAUAGAGACCAACGUGGCCGGGCAGGAAGAGCAGGGUCCCGCCUUCAGGUGUUUGGGACUCUGCUGAGGGUGUGGGUGCCCCGCGGUGGGGGCUGAACCUUCCUGGGGUGUGGAGAGACGAAAGGAGCCCAGAUCCAAGUUCCCUCGUUCCCGCUUUGGCAUAAGUUGCCCUGGCGGUCUCAUGAGAGAGAGAAAGAGCUGGGACCCUCCUCGCCCCAGUGAGUGUGAUGUCUUGCUCCGGGUGUCCUGGGGCAACUUUCUAUAAAGGCGGGACGUGGGAGGAUCAGACAGUGUAACAUCAGACAAGGGUGUUGACUCUGCAGCACAGAACCAGUAGUUUGUGGAGAAGAAUGGAGGUGUGGUGUUGAAUCUGCUAGACAGGCUACUGAAGCAAAAGUCAAGAGAUCCAGAUUCCAUCAUGGGGACACUUUAGGGUAGGACCAAGGUGCUCUGGUCUGGUCAACAGCCCCAUGUGAACUCUCAGCAGGUGCCAGCACCAGUCAUCAUCCAUGCAAGUGAUCUCUUUUGGAUGAACCAAACGAGUGAAGCCUCCAGAUGAUUAAGGAAUUUUCAUGAUAUAUGAUUUUACCCCACUCUUGGAAUGUGGAACCUACUUCUAAUUCCCCUCCAUGAAAUGAGGCUUCACUGCAGUUACACAGGUUAAAAAGUUGAGAGGCUGCUGCUACGAAUGGCUCCAUGAGCCACAUGAAAAACCAUAUUCUUACAAGGUUGCUAGGGAUAACCUUGCAAGGAAGCUACUUUCCUUCAGCACACAUAGACAGGACUCUACCAGAUAGCAAUGUACACUGCAGUGUUUGACUUUCUUGACUGUCCCCACACAGCACCACUUAGUGGAUAAGUCUGUCCAACUCUGGGGUUCAUUAAGAAGAAAUGUCUUCUCAGCAGAUCUGAGGUUAUUCAGUCACAUGAUUAUGGACAGUCUCUUAGUUUUCUGCCAUGGAUAGCUAAUUGCUUCACGCUGUUGUAAAAAGGAUUGAGUUCUUGAUUGAUUCCCAGCUUGGUCAUUGGUGUAUAGCAGUGCUACUGAUUUGUUUACAUUGAUUUUGUAACCUGAGACUUUACUGAAUUCGUGUAUCAGAUCUAGGAGCCUUUUGGUUCUUCAUCGGGUAAUUGAGCUGAUAUCAGGUGUCUGAAGGAGGCAAGUUUUGAAGAUGUGGGUCAUGAUGGCUGCUGAAGCUUCCACUCCAUAUUUGAAGGUCAGCAGUUCUCAGGAAACCUCUAGCACUUCCAUUCCUGGUGGGAUGUGAUGCCUGUCUCAGUGUAACAUCAGAGAAGGGGUGUACUCUGUGCCCUAGAACUAGGAGCUAACAGAGAAAAACCAAAUGUGAUGUGGAGUCUGCUAGACAGGCUACUGGAGCAAGAGUGAAGUGAUGAAAGUCUCAUCAUUGGGUCAUAUUAGAAAAAAUGAUGGAUACAGAAGGAUAGCUGGAUGUAAGUGAAAAGUUCCAGAAAACCAUGUCUGAUCCCAUUAAUCAAGCUCCCAACUUUCAUCCCUCCCUGCCCGCUGCUGAGUCCCCUGGUCUACACUCAGAGUUGCAAUCCUGACUCUGGCCACCAAGAGGCAUUACAGCUAUCUCCACGUUCCUUGCUCUUUCUUAAUGAAAAGGGGUAAAUUUCGCAGAAAUUCCAUACUAUGGAUAUGACAUCAGUUUUCUCAAACCUGUGUUAUUCAGAGUGUUCUGAUAUUCCCUGUUAUCUACACUGUGUGGAAGACAUCUUUUCAGAGUCUGUGCAUGGCUGAAGGGCACAGUUCCUGUAGCUGUUUACACUGGCCCAGAAAUAAAGGAAGGGAAUUUUCAGAAUGACAGUACUUAUAACCAGAUGCUUAUCAGCAUCCUUCACAAUGUCCUGAAGAUAAACUUCUAAAAGAUUCCUCAGGUGGAGUCACAGGAGAAAAUCCCAAGAGGAGUAAAAAAUAAUAAUGCUGAUGUCAUGUUAGAGUGGAGGCCCUGGACGCUGUUGUGGACCCACUCUCCAGUUUCUUCCACAGUUAGAAGAUGUGGAAGUGAUCAGUAAACAAAAGUUGUGCAACCAUCACCGUAGUUGAGUUUUGGAGGUUUCCAUCACUAUAAAAUGUCCCAUCAUACUUGAACGCAGUUGAUCCCUGCUUUCACCCCCAGCUCCAGGAAUCACAGCGCAGAGCUUUUAUGCAGAUGACUGAACCCGUGGAGUUAGGUGGCUGAGAGGAUGCAGCUUCCCAGGUCUCUACAACUGAUGGCAGCAAGAUGGGAGCACCCAGCUACAGUGUUCAGAAGUAGAUUUAGGCAGACUACCACACCUUACAUGCUAGAGGGAUCCACACUGACCUGAGUAGUGUGACAUGCAUAAAGGAAUUUCUUAUUGAGCCCCAGGAAGAAGAAACACUACAUAAGAGCAAAUAAUAAAAUCGGUCAGAUAGACAGAAGAUGGGAGUCAUCAAACCUGUAUCCCUCUUGCCAGACCUAUCAACUGACCAUAGGACAUUCAGGAGGCAGCAGGUGGCUGAAAUCCUGGUGUGAUGUGGCUGGAUCAUGCAUGAUCUGAGGACUCCUGCACAGGUGACUGCAGGAUGAGUACAGAAUUUUUCUAUAAAUAUACUAAAAUACCAAGUAAGCCAGGAGCAGCCACUAGGCAAACACCAAACCUUGCAUUCCUGGCCAGACCUAUCACAGAGCUCAUCAGCACUGAGCUCCUCACACAGGUGACUGAACCCGUGGUUUUGGUGUCUGAGAAGAUGCAGCUUCUCCAGUCUCUGCAACUGACGGCAGGAAGAUGGGAGCACUCAGCUUCAGUGUUCAGAAGCAGAUUUAGGCCAACUGCCAUACCUUACAUUCUGGAGGAAUCCACCCUGACCUGAGCAGAAGGCAUCACACACAUUCCCAAGCAGCAUGGUUCCCGUGAGAAACUGAAAACUAAUUUCUUGAAUCUACAAUGCGACUUCCAUCUUCCAGGUGUAACCAGAGUUUUUCCUGGAGCGAUUCCAGCUUGUUUCCUUUUGGUGCCUUCCUUAAGAAAUUUUGCAGCUGUUUCUGGUGCAGUUUUUGGGUGGGCUCUGGGGUGGGCAGACGAUCUCCACUUUGCAGAGGCUGCUCUUGUGAGUGGAGCUGGUGGUGAGGGAGUAGGAGAGGCCUCGCAUCAUCCUGGCAUUCAGGCCCUUAGCCAUGGAGAAGGACUUGAGGUGGCUUCUUAAGGUACUGGGGAGCGGGAGCUUGUCCACCAGAUGCACAGGUGUGCAGGACACGAUGGUGCGGCAGCAGAGGUCUUGCAAGCUCAGUACCUUGCUCGGCCUCCCGAGCCAAUUCAUCCUGUGCCGCAGCAGCACUAUCCUGGCCAGCUCCGUGAAAGACUCUAUGAUGUUGAAAUUGCACAGAGGGCUGACCUCAAAGAAGGUCACACCCAGGCGCUCAGCGUAGGCCUGGGCCUGCUCCCUGGGCACCUGCCUCUUGAAUGCCAGAUGUAGGCGAUUCCCCACCAGGAUUUUAGGGACACCAGGGGCAUGCUCAUCGAUCUUCUUAAUCCAUCGAUCCAUACCCUCAAAAGACCAGCGGUUUGCAAUGUCGUAGACCAGGAUCACUCCUUGUGCACCACGAGAGUAGGAGCGGAAUAUGGUACAAAAUCUUCCCUGCCCCGACGUAUCCCAGAGCUUCAGCUUCACCCGCUGGCCGUCCAGCAGGAUGGUGGUCGUCUUGUAGUCGAUCCCCCCGAGAUGGCUGUAUGGGGACUCAGCUGCACCAUCCUGCAGGCUCUCCAGGAUCUCACUCUUGCCUACGUCGCUGUCGCCCACCAGCAGGAACUUCAGCAGGAAGUCAUAGGCCUGGUCGGGGCUGCCUGGGGCGCUCAUGGCGCUGGCCUCGCACUCCCGCCUGAGCCAGGCCCGCAGGGUUGUGCGCAGAGGUGGUGCCGGGCCUGUUUUUCUUGAGAAAUUAGCAUAGAACAUAAAAAAUGAGAUGGGGAAGUCUGUGAAAUAAAGCGAAAUGAGGUGG